UUGAUGCUUUGGCCAAUAACCAUGAAAUUAUUUCCAGGAAAUAUAGUGUAUUGCAACCAUCUACUUGUUCUUGUGCACCAUUGAGUUUAGACUUCAGAGACACCAUGUAGAAUGUGAGGCUGUGAAGGAGCUAUAUGAUAAAAUGCUGAAAUCUGGAAUGCUAAAUGAUGUAAAGGGGAAUGACACUUUUAGAGGGGAAUGACUUACCUUUGGAACUUGGUACAGCAGAUAUCGUUUUCAGUUCCAACUUCAAUGGGGACACAAGAAGCAUCUGUAAGUGUUGAAAUUUAUCAUGAAGAUCCAAAGUGAAGCUGGUCUCUUAAGAAACAAGAUGUCUUUCAAGUGGAAUGUGCUGUGUUGAGGCAAUCCACCCCUAUGUACCUUAGGUUCAUUUUUUUUAUUGGUUUUGCUAUAAGCUUCAUUUGUGAUUGCUUCACAACAUUUGUUUGUAUACUACUCAACUUUUUAUAUAAGUGAAGGUUGUUUUCAACAAGCAAAGAAUUAGACA